AACUGGAUAGCUCAGUCGGGUAGAGCAGUCGGUUUAUAACCGAUAGGUCGUGGGUUCGACUCCCACUCCAACUAC
rnacentral:tRNA from 1 species